GGGCACAUGGUGUAGUUGGUUAUCACGCUCGCUUAGCACUGAAUCAGAAGAUUCACGACUGCGAGAGGUGUUGGGUUCAAUUCCCAAUGUGUCCA